rnacentral:lncRNA from 1 species
CAGCUCACUGUGGCCUCGAUUUCCCAGGCUCAAGCAAUCCUCCCUUCUGGGCCUCCCAAAGUGCUGGAAUUAUAGGCAUGAACCACUACACCCAGCCCUGUUUUCUUCUUUACGUGGGUUUUUGGGGAUGGGUUAUAUAGGAGCCAUUUCAUUAUUGUUUGUGGUUUUUCUGACACAAUUCUCAUUUCAGUGUCACUGUUAUCAUCAAACUGCUUUUAGCUACAUUGGAUUUUUUGGGGUUUUUUGCAUAGAGUCUCGCUCUGUCGCCCAGGCUGGAGU